UACGAAGGGGGCUAGCGUUGCUCGGAAUCACUGGGCGUAAAGGGUGCGUAGGCGGGUCUUUAAGUCAGGGGGGAAAUCCUGGAGCUCAACUCCAGAACUGCCUUUGAUACUGAGGAUCUUGAGUUCGGGAGAGGUGAGUGGAAAUGCGAGUGUAGAGGUGAAAUUCGUAGAUAUUCGCAAGAACACCAGUGGCGAAGGCGGCUCACUGGCCCGAUACUGACGCUGAGGCACGAAAGCGUGGGGAGCAAACAGG
rnacentral:rRNA from 1 species